rnacentral:tRNA from 2 species
GUUUCUGUAGUGUAGUGGUUAUCACGUUCGCCUAACACGCGAAAGGUCCCUACGGUUCGAAACCAGGCAGAAACA